GGCAGGCUCUGCCGUGGCAGGCUCUGCCGUGGCCCUCCCUCCUGUUGCGGUGGAGAGAUCUAGCACUUGUUAGGGAAGCAAUGUCCCCCAGCAGACUGCAAAUGUGACACCAUUUUAGCCAAAGAAAUAUAAUGGUAGGUUCUAGAAAAGCUUUUAGCUUCUGGAUCAGGACCCACCUUUGUUGCUUGCCAUGUAUGAUGAUGAGACUCCUGGGAAGGGGCAGCCCUCUUGUCACCACGAGGACUAUUGACCUGCACGCUUGGGAUGGGCCAGGGAAAGGUAGGGUGGGGCUUCAGUUGGAGCCACUUCUGGGAAUGAGAAACACAGCCCUUACCCAAGCCUCCACUGCUGUUGUGUCCAUAUUGCAGUUGAAUGAUAACCGACAGAGGAAUCAAAUCACAAAUUCUCUACAAUCUGGAAAUAACCAACUCAAGAACACCAGCUGUACAGAACUCUUAGAAGACGGUUCUCAUGAGGACUUCUGAUUAGAUGGUUAAGGAUGUACAUGACUGUCUAAUGCAGCCACGGAGGAAAGUGAGGCAGCAGGCGAGUCACUGCUUAGGACACCGGCACCCCACACCAUAGUGCUUUGUUGGGUCCUCUGCUUCCACACCAGCUCACUAAGGUGUGUGUGUGUCAGGGCGGGCAGCAGCUCAAAUGCUCUACUUGGGGUCCCUAUCACCCACAUGGGAAGUGUAGAUUGAGGUUUCUGAGUUUGGUCUGGACCCACUAUGCUGUGGCCUUUGAGGCAUCUGGGGAGAGAAGCAGCAGGUGAAGUUUCUUUUCCUGCUUUUCUAAUAGAACGGGAAUAGCAGUUUAAUGCACUCAAUACUCUCACUUAAGUUAUCGAAGCAUGAAGGGCACAGAAGAACUGGUAGCUGUGUAAAUUAUUUUCCCAGCCAGAAAUAUAAGCAAGGGGAAAGGCAGGUAGGCAGCUAGUCCCAAGGGGAUCUGCCACCCCAGAUGGACUUGAACUUGAGUGUUCAUGGCACUGAAUUUAGGAGACAACAUCUGGGCUGAUCUCAGAGGGGCAGUGUGAUGGUAAAUGCCUUUCCUAUAAACUUGGGAGUCUUGCAGGAACAUACAAUGAAGAGUGUAAAGUAUUAAGCAAAAGCAGACCCUUCCCCACAAAUCCCACCUUUAUGUAAACAAGGAGAAAGCAGGCAUUCAUCGCAAUAAACUGGGAACCAAGCUGGGCCUAGUGUGUGUUCCCCAUCUGGUCCUUCUAGAUUGUCGUACAAUAUUCAAUAUAAAAGCUUAAGUCCUACAUACCAGAGAGAGGCACUUGGUAUAAACUAAUGCUGAUUCUGUAGGGAGGAGUCUCGGUUCUCCCCAGUGCCCCAAACAUUCACCUCAAUAAAACCCCAAAAGGAAAGGCAGUAAAAAUACCCAAGGAAACAGAACACUGGGUAAGAGAGGCAGGAGAAACGGCCCUCACCAGGACAGGACUCCAAGGCCAAGACCAGUGGCAUUGUUUUGCCACUUAAAAUGAGCUCAUUCUGGAACAUAGAAGAACAGACACACAAACUAUUCGUCAGGAGCAACAUGUGUUUAACCCCCUGGGAGGCACAGCUGCUCCAUCCCAGGGCAGAGCUGGCUCUGAGGAACAACAAGCAGUCCCAGGGAAGUCAGGUUCUGCUGGGAACUGCUGUCCUCCCUCCCUCGGCAGUGCUCCCUAGGCUGGGAACUGCUGUCUGCUCUGCGCUGGGCAGUGCUCCCUGGGCUGGGAACUGCUGUCCUCCCUGCGCUGGGCAGUGCUCCCUGGGCUGGGAACUGCUGUCCGCUCUGUGCUGGGCAGUGCUCCCUGGGCUGGGAACUGCUGUCCGCUCUGUGCUGGGCAGUGCUCCCUGUGCUGGGAACUGCUGUCCGCUCUGUGCUGGGCAGUGCUCCCUGUGCUGGGAAUUGCUGUCUGCCCUGUGCUGGGCAGUGCUCCCUGUGCUGGGAACUGCUGUCCGCUCUGUGCUGGGCAGUGCUCCCUGUGCUGGAAACUGCUGUCUGCCCUCACUGGGCAGUGCUCCCUGUGCUGGGAACUGCUGUCUGCUCUGCGCUGGGCAGUGCUCCCUGGGCUGGGAACUGCUGUCCUCCCUGCGCUGGGCAGUGCUCCCUGUGCUGGGAACUGCUGUCCGCUCUGUGCUGGGCAGUGCUCCCUGUGCUGGGAACUGCUGUCCGCUCUGUGCUGGGCAGUGCUCCCUGGGCUGGGAACUGCUGUCCGCCCUCACUGGGCAGUGCUCCCUGGGCAGGGAACUGCUGUCCAC